AGGUGGCAGACAGUUUCCACCAGGAUCCAAGCCUCUGCGUAUGCAGGGAUAUAUGGCUUUAUUUUAAAAAGAAACCAAUGUCUUUCUUUAGCACAAACACAGCAGUGGCCCAUGGCAAUCAGACGUCAUUUACACAACGCUCUUCAAAGUCACACCUGAAAGGCACACGGCACAGACAUCACACUUUGGGCAGCACAGUCGCCCACACAGAGUACACUUCUCACUGUGAAGUCCCCAGCUCAGAGAAGAAUGGAUGGCUGUGUACUGGGAGGAGGAGGGGCUUGCUCUCCCAAGCACCAUGGUGACCGAUUUUCCUCAGGAUUGUGUGACUCUGGCUGGGACACUGCCAGGACCUUCUCUACUGGUGAGCCAUGGAAAGGAUCUGUCCCGUCGUCGCCCACAGGUGGGGGCGAGCCACUGGGAACCUGGCCUGUCAUUGGGAUCUGAGGCCCCCCACACAGACCAAGACACAAAUAGCUCCCGGCCCACGCUGCUUCCAGUGUGCUGACGAUGGCUGUUUGCUCCUGUUUCUUCUCCUUUUUAUUUAUUACUUUUUUUUAAGGGAACAAGAUCUGGGGUAAGAGCUGGUAGCUUUGGAAAACUUUUUCUGGUUCUCGAGAGAACAAUGGCAAAAUGGCAGCCUAGGCCUUGGCUCUCACAGUUCGAGAGAACCAGGGAUCCUCUCGAAAGAUGCAACUGCCCAACAGGUGCAGGGUGAAGGGAAGACAGGGCUCUCCCCAAUCCCCUGGCUCGUGGUAUAUCCCAAGGCCCAGCUCAUGACAGGAAGUUAUUUUGGGUUAGCUCCUACUUCUUCAGACAAGCAGAUAUGUUCAGAUAUGUUCACACGGAUAAGGUGUGUGCGUGUGCGUGUGCGCGUGCGUGCUUGCGUGGUGAUGUGGGAAGGGGUAUAUGAAGGCAGGGAGAAAACUAAUGUUGAGACUGAGACCAGGAGAGCAAACAAUAGAAUCUCGGCAACAGUUUCAUUGUGCAGUGAGGUCCAGGCAGCGCAGACAGCGCAAGUCCUGCUUGCCACGGGAGCCGUUAAACAGGAUAGUUUCCACCCUGCAUCAAGUUUCUCACACACUAACAUUCUUAAUGGGAAGGUGGGGGCACUUCCUUCCUCUGAGGGUUUUGGAGGACUUCAUCCCCACAGUACAGCUCUGGCCUUCCUCCCAUCCCAGUCUAGCAAAAUCUUGCUGUCCAGAGGGCUGGGCUCCUUGGUUGGUGUCACAUCAGAAGGCUGAUGUGCUCAGCAGCCUUGCCCCUCCGACGGUGUGGCCUUGGUGGACAAGUGCCCAUAGGAGAGAGCGGUGGGGCAGCGAGAGCAGGGGCUGCUGGGUGGUAGUGUGUCGCACAGGUUCCCUAGGUUGGUGGUGUGCUCCUUCCUUGGCAUCUCACCAGGUGGCCGGUACAGAGGCUGGAAGCUGCUCCACGGUUGCCAUGGCAACCAGCAUCUUCACUCUCCCCCCCCCCCCCUUAACCACCCCAGCCAGCCAGGAGGCUCCAGGUGGGAGGCACAGGUUCGCUGCUGGCGCCACCGGUGUGGGAGGAGUGACUGGGCUACUCGCCAGUCGCCUCAGGGUUAGCUGAUGUCCUGGUUUCUUCCGGUUGAGCUCUGUAGCUUUCCCUGCUCUGGGCGUGGCCUGAAGCAGCGGUCUUCAGAGAACGCGAGGAAGGAGGCCUGCAGCCAGGGGACCUCUUCCUCUGCUUCACCCAGGCCUGGGAUACCCUUCAAUGUCCUCAGAGUUUUGAUUCCAAACUUCUUCACCCCUGUGAUUAUGGGGUAUCUCGGGCCCUUUGAAGGAGGUACCACAAGUGCUGGCACAUCAGACUUGCUCCCCUACCUGCACCGGAGCACUGCUGAGACAACAUCCCCUCCAGCGCAACCACAUAGUCAGGACCCAGCCAGUCCAGGUAUGUGGUUUUCUCCCGGACUGGCACCGCUCGGACUGUAGCAUCUUUGAAAAGCAGGUCUUGGCUGUGAUAUUUGGAGGAGUCAAACAUUUGGAAACCGUUCUUGUUAUGGUCGUCUCCAAACAGGUCCUGGAAACAUCAAAAGCAACUGCUGUGUCUGGGCUUACAGAACAUCAUAGGGGCCCCAAAGAGCAAGCAUUUCAGGGCCCCAAGUC
rnacentral:lncRNA from 1 species